rnacentral:lncRNA from 1 species
GGAGUUCUCAUUAAUUGUGAAGGGUUUACAAAAGUACAUAGGUUCAAGCUCUCCUUUAGUGAGUACUAGUGAAUGAUUUAGUACAAAUGACAUUAGGAAAUAUUGUGAGAGAAUGAUCUCUAUUUAUAAAAAAGAGUUUCUAGUUUCAUUCUGACAUUGACACAUGUCGUGUUGUGAUUGGCUUCUGAUGUUAACACGUGUCGCGCUAUGAUUAGCUUCUGAUGUCGACACAUGUCGCUCUGUGAUUGGCCUCCUGGUUGGAGGGAAACUCUUCUGGGUCUUUGACGGUAUAACGUUGACCAGUGCUCAGUAGUUUCGAGAUUUGGUCAAGUACGGUAUAAACAGUGCUCCCCUAAGUUCCCGAGUGAGGGAAGCUCCUCGGUUGGGGACUUGUAAGAUUUAAGCUAUUGAGUAAUCACGAAACUUCUAACUACCGAAGUGUGGUAUCAUUUUCACUUGCCUUAUCUUUCUCAUAUGUAGAUGUGACAUCUUCUCUGGAAGUACUUUUCCUCCAUUCAGGGGUGGUAUCUUUAACCGAUGAAGAUGCACAAGGUAAUGUAUCAAUUUCACUUGAAGCUUACUUGUAGUUUCGAGCUUGGUCAAGUGCAAUACAAACCCUAUAGUAGGAGUCAACCCAAGUCGCCGAGCUAGGAGAUUUGCCGAAUGAGGUAACAGACAAGGUAAGCAAUCAGACUUCUAAGCAAGCAACCUGGAUCGGAGGUUCAACUUCGGCUUCCGGUUGAUUGUUCUCCUUCUCAUUGUGUCGUAAACAGCAACAAGGAUAAAGAGAAGCAAAUGUAGAAGAGAUGAUAUGAGAUACUUUUGCUUUUGAAGAAGUAACUUUCCACAGGCUUAUUCUUG